GAUGAACGCUGGCGGCGUGCCUAAUACAUGCAAGUCGAGCGAACAGACGAGGAGCUUGCUCCUCUGACGUUAGCGGCGGACGGGUGAGUAACACGUGGAUAACCUACCUAUAAGACUGGGAUAACUUCGGGAAACCGGAGCUAAUACCGGAUAAUAUAUUGAACCGCAUGGUUCAAUAGUGAAAGACGGUUUUGCUGUCACUUAUAGAUGGAUCCGCGCCGCAUUAGCUAGUUGGUAAGGUAACGGCUUACCAAGGCAACGAUGCGUAGCCGACCUGAGAGGGUGAUCGGCCACACUGGAACUGAGACACGGUCCAGACUCCUACGGGAGGCAGCAGUAGGGAAUCUUCCGCAAUGGGCGAAAGCCUGUCGGAGCAACGCCGCGUGAGUGAUGAAGGUCUUCGGAUCGUAAAACUCUGUUAUUAGGGAAGAACAAAUGUGUAAGUAACUAUGCACGUCUUGACGGUACCUAAUCAGAAAGCCACGGCUAACUACGU
rnacentral:rRNA from 1 species